rnacentral:tRNA from 1 species
GGGCCUGUAGCUCAGUUGGUUAGAGCCAUCAACUUAUAAUCGACUGAUCGUCUCUUCAAAUCCUACUAGGCUCAUCA